rnacentral:rRNA from 2 species
CAGCAGCCGCGGUAAUACCCGCGCCCCAAGUGGUGGUCGAUAUUAUUGAGCCUAAAACGUCCGUAGCCGGUCUUCUAAAUCCUUGGGUAAAUCGGGCAGCUUAACUGUCCGAAGUCCGGGGAGACUGGGAGACUUGGGACCGGGAGAGGUCAGAGGUACUUCUGGGGUAGGGGUAAAAUCCUGUAAUCCUGGAAGGACCACCGGUGGCGAAGGCGUCUGACUAGAACGGAUCCGACGGUGAGGGACGAAGCCCUGGGGCGCAAACGGGAUUAGAUACCCCGGUAGUCCAGGGUGUAAACGCUGCGGGCUUGGUGUUGGGGGUCCUUAGUGGGCGCCCAGUGCCGGAGAGAAGUUGUUAAGCCUGCUGCUUGGGGAGUAUGUCCGCAAGGAUGAAACUUAAAGGAAUUGGCGGGGGAGCACCGCAACGGGAGGAGCGUGCGGUUCAAUUGGAUUCAACGCCGAAAAACUCACCAGGAGCGACGGAUAUAUGAAGGUCAAGCUGAUGACUUUACCUGAUUUUCCGAGAGGAGGUGCAUGGCC